CGCGGCCUAUCAGCUUGUUGGUGGGGUAAUGGCCUACCAAGGCGGCGACGGGUAGCCGGCCUGAGAGGGUGUACGGCCACAUUGGGACUGAGAUACGGCCCAGACUCCUACGGGAGGCAGCAGUGGGGAAUAUUGCACAAUGGGCGCAAGCCUGAUGCAGCGACGCCGCGUGGGGGAUGAAGGCCUUCGGGUUGUAAACUCCUUUCGCUAGGGACGAAGCUUUGUUGUGACGGUACCUAGAUAAGAAGCACCGGCUAACUACGUGCCAGCAGCCGCGGUAAUACGUAGGGUGCGAGCGUUGUCCGGAAUUACUGGGCGUAAAGGGCUCGUAGGUGGUUUGUCGCGUCGUCUGUGAAAUUCUGGGGCUUAACUCCGGGCGUGCAGGCGAUACGGGCAUAACUUGAGUGCUGUAGGGGUAACUGGAAUUCCUGGUGUAGCGGUGAAAUGCGCAGAUAUCAGGAGGAACACCGAUGGCGAAGGCAGGUUACUGGGCAGUUACUGACGCUGAGGAGCGAAAGCAUGGGUAGCGAACAGGAUUAGAUACCCUGGUAGUCCAUGCCGUAAACGGUGGGCGCUAGGUGUGAGGGUCUUUCUACGACUUUCGUGCCGUAGCUAACGCAUUAAGCGCCCCGCCUGGGGAGUACGG
rnacentral:rRNA from 1 species